AGUAGAUGAUCUUAGACUAACAACGCCACGUCCUGUGGCAACGUCUAAGUGACCAACAUCCUGUUGG
rnacentral:sRNA from 1 species